AGUGAACGCUGGCGGCAGGCCUAACACAUGCAAGUCGAACGGCUGAACAGUGCUUGCUUGCUGUUACGGGUGCGGACUGGCGGGUGGGUGCUAAGUAUCUCGGAAUCUAUUUUUUCUUGGGGGCUAACGCGGGCGCUAUUACGCCAUUCGUGCUUACGAACAAAGGGUGAAAGCUGGGGAUCUUACGCUCUUGCGCGAUUGUAUGUGCCGAUGUCGGAUUAGCUAGUUGGCGGGGUAAAGGCCCACCAAGGCGACGAUCCGUAGCUGGUCUGAGAGGAUGAUCAGCCACACUGGAACUGAGACACGGUCCAGACUCCUACGGGAGGCAGCAGUGGGGAAUAUUGGACAAUGGGCGCAAGCCUGAUCCAGCCAUACCGCGUGUGUGAAGAAGGCCUUCGGAUUGUAAAGCCCUUUUAGUGGGAAGGAAGAGCAGUAGGUUAAUACCUCGCUGUUUUGACGUUACCCAAAGAAUAAGCACCGGCUAACUUCGUG
rnacentral:rRNA from 1 species